AAAGAAAAGAUAGGGUAUUUUUGGUCAUGAAAACUGGAACAAACCCUAAUCACUUCUAACCUUAAAUAGUUAUAUAGCCGUAACUCCCUCCCCCUCUUUCUAGUUUUGUUGAGGUUACUUUGAUCUCUCUCUCUCCUCCGAUCACUCUUUCCCCCCUAGGGCUGUCUCGCUGUUUAGCCAGCACCUCUGAUUACUUUCUGCUCUAACUAUUUGAGAAAGGUCGCAUCUUCUUCACUACAGUCAAGUCCAGUUUUGAUAGGUUAAUCUCGGCCAUUAAUGGGUCCUCGCUCUUAACAAAUAAUUAAUGCGAGCGGGGGAUCAUCGUCACUCACGGGCCAAAAGUGAUUUUAAGGGGCAUCCUCAAGGGGUUUUUAUGUUAUUCCUCUCUUAUGUUUUAACCCAGGGAAACUGCCCUAUAUACAUGUAAUCCGUCUGGGGGUACCUAUUUACUUUUAACAUAUUAGACCUAAUCAAACUCAUUUAUUAUUUAUUAUUUUUUUAUGGAGGAAUGGUUCCAGCAGAUGUGCAAAAGACAUUGGAGAAUGGCUUUGCAAGAUAGAGUAAUGGAAGAAACAAAUGACAGGAAGAAUGCUGUUGAGGAGGCCUAUGUCUAUGACAUGAGAAACAAGGUAGCAUGCUUAGUGGCAAAAAAUAUCUGGCUUUUAGUUUUGGACUUUAGGCGUCUACAUUGCCAGGCUGGAGAAUUGAUUCCAGCAGAUGUGCAAAGGUGUUUACAUUGCCAAGAUGGUGAUCCCAUUGAGGAUCGUUACAAAAGAGAGUGAUAACCGAGAGCUGUAAUUGUUCGUUGCAUUAAUAGCUACAGAGAAGCAGCAGUUUCAAAUGAUCAUAGAUUUGAUCACAUCGACAUCUCUGAAAAAGAGAAGGUCCUAAAUGAAUGUGUAGAGGCAGAAGCUUGGUCGAGAGAGAAAAAGCUCCAACAGGAUUCACUUCCUAAGUAUGUGAAUCCAGUUUUCUUCUCUGCUGAUGUGCUAAAGAAGACUGAAACACUGGACAGAUUUUGUAAACCAAUAAUGACGAAACCAAGGCCAGCACCAGCCAAGCCAGCUACUCCUGAGGCCCCACCAACCGCACCUCCUUGGCCAGUGAGCAGCAGCAACCUCAAGGAGUUGAUGCUAAUGCCAGCACUGCCGGCAGCAGAUGGCGGUGCUGAGACAUCGGCUUCUGCAGAACCAAUGGAUACGAAGACUUCUACAACUUCUGCGCAUGGUCCUUUCAAGUGGUUCUUGCCUCUUAAUGUUUUGUUUUUCAAGAAAGAAUUUGGUUCUUAUGUACAAGUACUUUUAUGAUUCUAAGUCUAGGGAAAAACUGGGGGGUGGACCUAUCAUGAAAGCAUCUGGAGUGUGUCCGCCUCUUUCGGGUCUGUGAAACCUUUUCUGUUGUGGGUGGUCCGCCAAAUUUUAUAGUUAAUUAGGGUGGAUCUUCAGUAUCCGGUUUUUAUAUAUUUUUUGAGGGUUUUCAAGAUAUACUGUUGGUAGUCUUCCUGACAGUUGUAGGGGAAGAACAAGAGAAAUACAUUUUGAUAUGGUCCUAAGUGCCAUUGUUUUUAUGUUGGUAUGCUCUGCACAAUUAAUUUCUGGAA